rnacentral:rRNA from 1 species
CAGCAGCCGCGGUAAUUCGUAGGGUGCGAGCGUUGUCCGGAAUUAUUGGGCGUAAAGAGCUCGUAGGCGGUCUGUCGCGUCGGUCGUGAAAACUUGGGGCUUAACCCUGAGCUUGCGGUCGAUACGGGCAUGACUGGAGUUCGGCAGGGGAGACUGGAAUUCCUGGUGUAGCGGUGAAAUGCGCAGAUAUCAGGAGGAACACCGGUGGCGAAGGCGGGUCUCUGGGCCGAUACUGACGCUGAGGAGCGAAAGCGUGGGGAGCGAACAGGAUUAGAUACCCUGGUAGUCCACGCCGUAAACGUUGGGCGCUAGGUGUGGGUUCCCUUCCACGGGAUCCGUGCCGCAGCUAACGCAUUAAGCGCCCCGCCUGGGGAGUACGGCCGCAAGGCUAAAACUCAAAUGAAUUGACGG